GCUGGGUGUGGUGGUACAUGCCUGUAAUCCCAGUAGCUCAGGAGGCUGAGACAGGAGGAUCACGAGUUCAAAGCUAGCCUCAGUUAAGGUGAGGCACUAAGCAACUCAGUGAGACCUUGUCUCGA
rnacentral:sRNA from 1 species